CACGUAGGCGGCUUCGUGUGUCCCAUGUGAAAGCCCUCGGCUCAACCGGGGAACUGCAUGGGAAACUGCGGAGCUUGAGUCCGGGAGAGGUGAGUGGAAUUCCCAGUGUAGCGGUGAAAUGCGUAGAUAUUGGGAGGAACACCGGUGGCGAAGGCGGCUCACUGGACCGGUACUGACGCUGAGACGCGAAAGCCAGGGGAGCAAACG
rnacentral:rRNA from 1 species